AUUGAACGCUGGCGGCAGGCCUAACACAUGCAAGUCGAGCGGAGCGGCGGACGGGUGAGUAAUGCCUAGGAAUCUGCCUGGUAGUGGGGGAUAACGUCCGGAAACGGGCGCUAAUACCGCAUACUAUCAGCUGAGCCUAGGUAGGAGUAGCUAGUUGGCGGGGUAAAGGCCUACCAAGGCGACGAUCCGUAACUGGUCUGAGAGGUUGAUCAGUCACACAUGAACUGAAGCAGGAUCCAGACUCCUACGGUAGGCAGCAGUGGGGAAUAGUGGACAAGAGUCGAAAGCCUGGUACAGCUACGCCGCGUGUAUGAAGCAGGUCGUCGGAUUGUAAAGCACGUCAAGUUGGGAGGCUUUGGCAACAGAAUUAGCACCGGCUAACUUCGUGCCAGCAGCCGCGGUAAUAC
rnacentral:rRNA from 1 species